rnacentral:lncRNA from 1 species
UGGGAUCAAAUCCGUGAAUCAUGCUGCAAGUGUAAGGUACAUAGCGAGGGCCGAGGAGCUUCAAGAGUAUUUCCUCCAGGCGCAGGGAUGUAUCUGGAGUUAGAAAUCCUAAUCUAGGUAGUUAAUCCAUUAUACUUUUUGACAUGCUCGAUGAGAAGAAAUACCGAUGCCUCUCCUUAGAUCUGGAGUGGCCUGUGCUCAGUAUACAAAAGUCUGAAGUGAAGAGGCAAAGACUACUCUGUUGUAAAG